rnacentral:lncRNA from 1 species
GCAAAGCCACAGUCCCUAUUGAGUAAGUCAUCCUCUGCACACACACUCUCAGGGAUGUGGUAACAAUUCUUUCCUUUGACCCUUCAGGCCUCACGUGUACCAGCACUCUGCUCUCCUUUGCCUUGGGACGUUCCAUCCCUGGAAGUUUCCCUGCCCACAUCUUUGUAGAGAGUCCAUUCUCCAAGCUUCAGUGUGUCAUCUGUGAGGACUGUGACCUACCUGGUACAUCGCCUCAGGGCAUUCAUUUCAGGCUCCUUCUAAAUGGUCAAGGAUCUUGGAAGCAGAGGGGUCUGCAGAAGUGCUUGCAACACUUUCAGCCUCAACCAACAUCAGAGACAAAAAUCCUUUCUGGAAUGAGAGACUGUUUCUUCUGCGUGAACUGUAAAAGGACCUAUUAUGCUUUAUCUUCAAGCCCAGCAAUGAAUGUAAGGUUCAGAAAAUUUGACAGACAUCCCCCUCCACGACUUAUCUUUUAAAUGAAAAAUAAAUUUAAGAGCAA